rfam:Rhizobium sp. Pop5 Contig238, whole genome shotgun sequence.
CCAACCUUGUUGGGAGAAUCCGGUGCUUUCGCCACCGGUGCCGAAGGAGCAACCGCCCCGGAAACUCUCAGGCAAAAGGACCAGCAAGG